GGGGCCGUAGCUCAGCUGGGAGAGCGCUUGAAUGGCAUUCAAGAGGUCGCCAGUUCGAUCCUGGUCGGCUCCACCA
rnacentral:tRNA from 1 species